rnacentral:lncRNA from 1 species
GAAAGUUAAGAACACUUUUAUCAGGCAUCCUGUUGAACACCACUUCCUGUACCUUCUACCUGGUGCAUACUGCAAUAUGAUGGCACAACCCACUGUGACACCAGUGGUGCAAGUGUAUUUUUUAAUCAAGCAAAUUCUGAGAGCUAACCUAUCAUAUAGUUAAAACAUAGGGGAUCUGGACAAAUUUGGACAGGAUGCUAAUCUUUGCCCAUUUGCCAUUGCUGCUUCUUUUGGGAAACCAAGAUUCAGUAACCUGUAUCGACCUGGAGAAACAGCAUGAAGUCAUCUAUGCAGUAGUUGGAGAACCUCUAGUAUUGAACUGCACCUACAACUGCUCAUCUGGAUUUGUCCGUGGCCACUGGAUCAAAGUCUCAGACUGUCCUCAUUGUCCUAGGCCAAGAGAAACAACAAAUGUCACAAAGAAUGGUGACCUCUGCACACUACCAUUGUAUUUUCCACAUCUGUCCACAGAAGAUUUUCGGUACAACUAUACCUGCUUUUCUGAAGAUCACGAAAGCAAAGAUUUCUCACGCAAGAUAGAGAUUUUGGUAUCACUGCAGGCACAAGGUCGACAUAGUGCCCCGGCCACAACGGUCACUACUGAUGUGUCGGUGACAGCGUUGAGUAACCACGAAGACUCAAUAAUAGAUAAUGAGGCAUUCACAGUUGUCAAAGUGUUGGCAACAGUGACAGUUAUUGUGGCUGCUGUGUUGGCAGCUGUGGCUGUCUACUUAUGUAUGAGCCGCAAUCGAUAUUGCAAAGGAAAACCUGCUGUUAUCUGUACAGGCACAACAUCAAGAGAAGGAUCUAGUGUUGGAAGGUCGACAACAGGUGCAUGCUUAACUAAUUGUGAGAGGGUGGCACUGAGAAUAACUCCAGCUGAUUGCCAGAGUGAUCAUGAGGUUCCUUAUGCUGACAUAAUGAUUACUAUGCGAGGGGCCAGCACACCUGAACUCACACAGAUCUCCUACCUAGCACCGGGGGAUCAUAGAGAGAGGUGGAGAGAAGAGGCAGGCCCUGAAGCUAGGUCCACCCUGCAGGCCUCCCGCUCAGCUGAUAGACUGCAUGUCCAGCCCCGAGAGGUCUCCAGGAAGAUGAGCACAAACUCUGAGUACGCUGUCAUCACCUACUCUUAACCAGUGAGGCUGGAGAUGGUAAAAGAGGGAAUAAGAGAGAGCAA